GACGAACGCUGGCGGCGUGCCUAAUACAUGCAAGUCGACGUUAGUGGCGAACGGGUGAGUAACACGUGGGUAAGCGGCCCAUAAGAAGUGGAUAACACGUGGAAAAAGGUGCUAAUACCGUAGAGGGAUGGAUGGACGGGCGGUGCAUGCGCUAGUUGGGGGGGUAACGGCUCACCAAGGCCACGAUGCAUAGCCUACCCGAGAGGGUGAUCCGCCCACUUGGGACUGAGAACCGGCCCCAACUCCUACGGGAGGCAGGAGUAGGGAAUCUUCGGCAAUGGACGAAAGGCUUACCGGGCAACGCCGCGUGAGUGAAGAAGGUUUUCGGGUCGUAAAACUCUGUUGUUAGAGAAGCGGUAUCUAACAAGAGAGCCACGGCUAACUACGGGCCAGCAGCCGCGGUAAUUC
rnacentral:rRNA from 1 species